rnacentral:rRNA from 1 species
UCUAUACGGUGAAACUGCGAAUGGCUCAUUAAAUCAGUUAUCGUUUAUUUGAUAGUACCUUGCUACAUGGAUACCUGUGGUAAUUCUAGAGCUAAUACAUGCGGAAAACCCCGACUUCGGAAGGGGUGUAUUUAUUAGAUAAAAAACCAAUGCCCUUCGGGGCUCCUUGGUGAUUCAUAAUAACUGCACGAAUCGCAUGGCCUUGCGCCGGCGAUGGUUCAUUCAAAUUUCUGCCCUAUCAACUUUCGAUGGUAGGAUAGUGGCCUACCAUGGUGGCAACGGGUAACGGGGAAUUAGGGUUCGAUUCCGGAGAGGGAGCCUGAGAAACGGCUACCACAUCCAAGGAAGGCAGCAGGCGCGCAAAUUACCCAAUCCCGAUUCGGGGAGGUAGUGACAAUAAAUACUGAUACAGGGCUCUUUUGGGUCUUGUAAUUGGAAUGAGUACAAUCUAAAUCCCUUAACGAGGAACAAUUGGAGGGCAAGUCUGGUGCCAGCAGCCGCGGUAAUUCCAGCUCCAAUAGCGUAUAUUAAAGUUGUUGCAGUUAAAAAGCUCGUAGUUGAACCUUGGGCCUGGCUGGCCGGUCCGCCUCACCGCGAGUACUGGUCCGGCCGGGCCUUUCCUUCUGGGGAACCCCAUGGCCUUCACUGGCCGUGGCGGGGAACCAGGACUUUUACUGUGAAAAAAUUAGAGUGUUCAAAGCAGGCCUUUGCUCGGAUACAUUAGCAUGGAAUAAUAGAAUAGGACGUGUGGUUCUAUUUUGUUGGUUUCUAGGACCGCCGUAAUGAUUAAUAGGGAUAGUCGGGGGCGUCAGUAUUCAGCUGUCAGAGGUGAAAUUCUUGGAUUUGCUGAAGACUAACUACUGCGAAAGCAUUCGCCAAGGAUGUUUUCAUUAAUCAGGGAACGAAAGUUAGGGGAUCGAAGACGAUCAGAUACCGUCGUAGUCUUAACCAUAAACUAUGCCGACUAGGGAUCGGACGGUGUUUCUAUGAUGACCCGUUCGGCACCUUACGAGAAAUCAAAGUUUUUGGGUUC